rnacentral:rRNA from 1 species
UACAGAGGUCCCGAGCGUUAGGCGGAAUCACUGGGCUUAAAGCGUGUGUAGGCGGAUCGUUAAGUGCCUUGUGAAAUCCCACGGCUUAACCGUGGAACUGCUUGGCAUACUGGCGGUCUUGAGCCACCUAGGGGCAACCGGAACAAAUGGUGGAGCGGUGAAAUGCGUAGAUAUCAUUUGGAACGCCAAUGGUGAAAACAGGUUGCUGGGGGUGUGCUGACGCUGAGACACGAAAGCCAGGGGAGCGAACGGG